GACGAACGCUGGCGGCGUGCUUAACACAUGCAAGUCGAACGGAAAGGCCCUGCUUUUGUGGGGUGCUCGAGUGGCGAACGGGUGAGUAACGCGUGAGUUACCUGCCCUUGACUUUGGGAUAACUUCAGGAAACUGGGGCUAAUACCGGAUAGGAGCUCCUGCUGCAUGGUGGGGGUUGGAAAGUUUCGGCGGUUGGGGAUGGACUCGCGGCCUAUCAGCUUGUUGGUGGGGUAGUGGCUUACCAAGGCUUUGACGGGUAGCCGGCGUGAGAGGGUGACCGGCCACAUUGGGACUGAGAUACAGCCCAGACUCCUACGGGAGGCAGCAGUGGGGAAGAUUACACAAUGGGCGGAAGCCUGAUGCAGCAACGCCGCGGGCGGGAUGACGGCCUUCGGGUUGUGAACCGCUUUCGCCUGUAACGAAGCGUGAGUGACGGUAAUGGGUAAAGAAGCACCGGCUAACUACGUG
rnacentral:rRNA from 1 species